rnacentral:rRNA from 1 species
UACGGAGGGAGCUAGCGUUGUUCGGAAUUACUGGGCGUAAAGCGCGCGUAGGCGGCUUUGUAAGUUAGAGGUGAAAGCCCGGAGCUCAACUCCGGAACUGCCUUUAAAACUGCAUCGCUUGAAUCCAGGAGAGGUGAGUGGAAUUCCGAGUGUAGAGGUGAAAUUCGUAGAUAUUCGGAAGAACACCAGUGGCGAAGGCGACUCACUGGACAUGUAUUGACGCUGAGGUGCGAAAGCGUGGGGAGCAAACAGG